rnacentral:rRNA from 1 species
CUGGGAACGUCUAACGAGACUGCCGGUGUAAACCGCGAGGAAGGUGUGGAUGACGUCAAAUCAGCACGGCCCUUACAUCCAGGGCUACACACGUGUUACAAUGGUCGGUACAGAGGGCAGCUACCAGGCAACUGGAUGCGAAUCUCAAAAACCGGUCUCAGUUCGGAUUGGAGUCUGCAACCCGACUCCAUGAAGCUGGAUUCGCUAGUAAUCGCGCAUCAGCCAUGGCGCGGUGAAUACGUUCCCGGGCCUU